GACGUAGGAUGCGAGCGUUGUUCGGAAUUAUUGGGCGUAAAGCGUGCGUAGGCGGCGAUCUAAGUCUGGUGUUAAAGCUAGGGGCUCAACCCCUGUGAUGCACUGGAAACUGGGUCGCUUGAGUGUGGUAGGGGAAGGUGGAAUUCCGAGUGUAGCGGUGAAAUGCGUAGAGAUCGGCAGGAACACCCAGGGGGAAACCAGCCGACUGGGCAUCUGCUGACGCUGAGGUGCGAGAGCGUGGGGAGCGAACCGG
rnacentral:rRNA from 1 species